rnacentral:rRNA from 1 species
UCAAAGGAAUUGACGGGGGCCCGCACAAGCGGUGGAGCAUGUGGUUUAAUUUGAAGCAACGCGAAGAACCUUACCAGGUCUUGACAUCCUCUGACAAUCCUAGAGAUAGGACGUCCCCUUCGGGGGCAGAGUGACAGGUGGUGCAUGGUUGUCGUCAGCUCGUGUCGUGAGAUGUUGGGUUAAGUCCCGCAACGAGCGCAACCCUUGAUCUUAGUUGCCAGCAUUCAGUUGGGCACUCUAAGGUGACUGCCGGUGACAAACCGGAGGAAGGUGGGGAUGACGUCAAAUCAUCAUGCCCCUUAUGACCUGGGCUACACACGUGCUACAAUGGACAGAACAAAGGGCAGCGAAACCGCGAGGUUAAGCCAAUCCCACAAAUCUGUUCUCAGUUCGGAUCGCAGUCUGCAACUCGACUGCGUGAAGCUGGAAUCGCUAGUAAUCGCGGAUCAGCAUGCCGCGGUGAAUACGUUCCCGGGCCUUGUACACACCGCCCGUCACACCACGAGAGUUUGUAACACCCGAAGUCGGUGAGGUAACCUUUUAGGAGCCAGCCGCCGAAGGUGGGACAGAUGAUUGGGGUGAAGUCGUAACAAGGUAGC